AUUGAACGCUGGCGGCAGGCCUAACACAUGCAAGUCGAACGAUUGCCGGACGGGUGAGUAAUGUCUGGGUAACUGCCCGAUGGAGGGGGAUAACUACUGGAAACGGUAGCUAAUACCGCAUACUAUUGGCUGUCCCCAUAUGGGUUUAGCUCGUAGGUGGGGUAACGGCUCACCUAGACGACGCCCCCUAGCUGGUCUGAGAGGAUGACCAGCAACGCUGGAACUGAGGAACGGUCCAGACUCCUACGGGAGGCAGCAGUGGGGAAUAUUGCACAAUGGGCGCAAUCCUGAUGCAGCCAUGCGGCGUGUAUGAAGAAGGCCUUCGGGUUGUAAAGUACUUUCAGCGAGGAGGCGUUACUCGCAGAAGAGGCACCGGCUAACUCCGUGCCAGCAGCCGCGGUAAUUC
rnacentral:rRNA from 1 species